UACGGAGGAUGCGAGCGUUAUCCGGAUUUAUUGGGUUUAAAGGGUGCGUAGGCGGGUUAUCAAGUCAGCGGUAAAAUCGUGGAGCUCAACUCCAUCCAGCCGUUGAAACUGAUGAUCUUGAGUGAGCGAGAAGUAUGCGGAAUGCGUGGUGUAGCGGUGAAAUGCAUAGAUAUCACGCAGAACUCCGAUUGCGAAGGCAGCAUACCGGCGCCCGACUGACGCUGAAGCACGAAAGCGUGGGUAUCGAACAGG
rnacentral:rRNA from 1 species